AGGUCCAGNCUGACCAGUGACUCUGUUUAACGGACGCGGGAUCCUAACCGUGCGAAGGUAGCGUAAUCACUUGUUCUUUAAAUAAGGACUAGUAUGAAUGGCAUCACGAGGGUUACACUGUCUCCUUUUUCCAAUCAGUGAAACUAAUCUCCCCGUGAAGAAGCGGGGAUUAACCUAUAAGACGAGAAGACCCUAUGGAGCUUUAAACAAUAUAGCAUUUACCUUACAAAUUUAUAAAAACAAACUUUACUAGGUAAAAUGGUUAUAAGUUUUUGGUUGGGGUGACCGCGGAGCAUAGUCUAACCUCCUUGUUGAAAAAAUCUUAUUUUAAGCCCAGAAUUACUUAUCUAANCAUCNACAUUUUGACAUCCAUUGACCCAAUUAUAUUGAACAACGAACCAAGUUACCCUAGGGAUAACANCGCAAUCCACUUUAAGANCCCAUAUCGACAAGUGGGUUUACGACCUCGAUGUUGCAUCAGGGUUUCCAAGUGGUGCAUCCGCUNCUA
rnacentral:rRNA from 1 species